rnacentral:rRNA from 1 species
UACGUAGGGUGCAAGCGUUAAUCGGAAUUACUGGGCGUAAAGCGUGCGCAGGCGGUUGUGCAAGACAGAUGUGAAAUCCCCGGGCUUAACCUGGGAAUUGCAUUUGUGACUGCACGGCUAGAGUGUGUCAGAGGGGGGGUAGAAUUCCACGUGUAGCAGUGAAAUGCGUGGAUAUGUGGAGGAAUACCGAUGGCGAAGGCAGCCCCCUGGGAUAACACUGACGCUCAUGCACGAAAGCGUGGGGAGCAAACGAGG